rnacentral:rRNA from 1 species
GACGAACGCUGGCGGCGUGCCUAAUACAUGCAAGUUGAGCGCUGAAGGUUGGUACUUGUACCGACUGGAUGAGCAGCGAACGGGUGAGUAACGCGUGGGGAAUCUGCCUUUGAGCGGGGGACAACAUUUGGAAACGAAUGCUAAUACCGCAUAAAAACUUUAAACACAAGUUUUAAGUUUGAAAGAUGCAAUUGCAUCGCUCAAAGAUGAUCCCGCGUUGUAUUAGCUAGUUGGUGAGGUAAAGGCUCACCAAGGCGAUGAUACAUAGCCGACCUGAGAGGGUGAGCGGCCACAGUGGGACUGAGACACGGCCCAAACUCCUACGGGAGGCAGCAGUAGGGAAUCUUCGGCAAUGGACGAAAGUCUGACCGAGCAACGCCGCGUGAGUGAAGAAGGUUUUCGGAUCGUAAAACUCUGUUGGUAGAGAAGAACGUUGGUGAGAGUGGAAAGCUCAUCAAGUGACGGUAACUACCCAGAAAGGGACGGCUAACUACGUGCCAGCAGCCGCCGUAA